rnacentral:piRNA from 1 species
UGCAGUGCUUUCUGAAGAAACAAGACAGA